GUCUAUGGCCACACCACCCUGAAAGCACCCGAUCUCAUCUGAUCUCAGAAGCUAAGCAAGGUCGGGCCUGGAUGGGAGAAAUUUAUAAAUGCUUUUUACUACCAUAUAUU
ensembl:rRNA 5S_rRNA 5S ribosomal RNA